GAUGAACGCUGGCGGCGUGCCUAAUACAUGCAAGUCGAGCGAACAGACGAGGAGCUUGCUCCUCCGACGUUAGCGGCGGACGGGUGAGUAACACGUGGAUAACCUACCUAUAAGACUGGGAUAACUUCGGGAAACCGGAGCUAAUACCGGAUAAUAUAUUGAACUGCAUGGUUCAAUAGUGAAAGACGGUUUUGCUGUCACUUAUAGAUGGAUCCGCGCCGCAUUAGCUAGUUGGUAAGGUAACGGCUUACCAAGGCAACGAUGCGUAGCCGACCUGAGAGGGUGAUCGGCCACACUGGAACUGAGACACGGUCCAGACUCCUACGGGAGGCAGCAGUAGGGAAUCUUCCGCAAUGGGCGAAAGCCUGACGGAGCAACGCCGCGUGAGUGAUGAAGGUCUUCGGAUCGUAAAACUCUGUUAUUAGGGAAGAACAAAUGUGUAAGUAACUAUGCACGUCUUGACGGUACCUAAUCAGAAAGCCACGGCUAACUACGUG
rnacentral:rRNA from 1 species